rnacentral:rRNA from 1 species
GAGCAUGUGGUUUAAUUCGAAGCAACGCGAAGAACCUUACCAAAUCUUGACAUCCUUUGACCGCUCUAGAGAUAGAGUUUUCCUCUUCGGAGGACAAAGUGACAGGUGGUGCAUGGUUGUCGUCAGCUCGUGUCGUGAGAUGUUGGGUUAAGUCCCGCAACGAGCGCAACCCUUGAACUUAGUUGCCAUCAUUCAGUUGGGCACUCUAAGUUGACUGCCGGUGACAAACCGGAGGAAGGUGGGGAUGACGUCAAAUCAUCAUGCCCCUUAUGAUUUGGGCUACACACGUGCUACAAUGGACAAUACAAAGGGCAGCGAAACCGCGAGGUCAAGCAAAUCCCAUAAAGUUGUUCUCAGUUCGGAUUGUAGUCUGCAACUCGACUACAUGAAGCUGGAAUCGCUAGUAAUCGUAGAUCAGCAUGCUACGGUGAAUACGUUCCCGGGUCUUGUACACACCGCCCGUCACACCACGAGAGUUUGUAACACCCG